AGCGAACGCUGGCGGCAGGCCUAACACAUGCAAGUCGAGGGGUAGAGGAAGCUUGCAUCCUUGAGACCGGCGCACGGGUGCGUAACGUGUAUGCAAUCUACCUUAUACAGAGGGAUAGCCCAGAGAAAUUUGGAUUAAUACAUCAUAGUAUUAUGAAAUCGCAUGGUUUUAUAAUUAAAGUUCCAACGGUAUAAGAUGACCAUGCGUCCCAUUAGUUAGUUGGUAAGGUAACGGCUUACCAAGACGAUGAUGGGUAGGGGUCCUGAGAGGGAGAUCCCCCACACUGGUACUGAGACACGGACCAGACUCCUACGGGAGGCAGCAGUGAGGAAUAUUGGUCAAUGGACGCAAGUCUGAACCAGCCAUGCCGCGUGCAGGAUGACGGUCCUAUGGAUUGUAAACUGCUUUUAUACAGGAAGAAACACUCCCUCGUGAGGGAACUUGACGGUACUGUAGGAAUAAGGAUCGGCUAACUCCGUGCCAGCCGCCGCAGUAAUAC
rnacentral:rRNA from 1 species